UAAAGAUUAAAUGAAUAAUAACUACAUGGCUACCACACAUACGUAAUUAAUGAUUAGUCCACGAUAUACAGCUGGGUCAUAUAUUGAAAUGGCCUAUAGAAGGUACUUGUAGAAAGAGCAUACAGUGCUGUAAGAAUGGAGAGUGAGAUCCAGCUCACUGAUGGCACCACUAACAUCAGUUUCUCUUUGUCGGCUGAAGUCCGUGAAAAGAUUAAGUCUGACCCUGGUUACGCCAGUUGUCUAUUUUCAGAAGCGCUGAAAAACACCACAGUGCAAACACAAGGUUAACUAUUCUCCAAGACUGUGGGAGCACCACCAUCUGGCACAAUCACAUCCACACCACUAUUCACCUCCAAAGCUUCAUGAUCUCACACAACCCCAGUAACAUGUGCACCUGACUUAACACCACCGCCAGCACUCUGCACAGACACCUCUACCUGUCCUUCCCACACUGAUACACUUCCUACCCCAUGCCUCCCCAGCUCAAUACCAAUCCUCAACUCAGACGCAUCCAAAAACCACAAAGAACAAGACCUCCAUCCACUGCCACUGGCACCUUUUUAGAACAAUAUGACCAACACGCCAUGAGACGAACUUCUGCAAUCGAGUCCCUUCUGGAUUGAGAUGACAAGCAAAAAAAGAUGCGAAAAAGGCUCAGAGACAAAAGAGAACAAAUGGAUACCAAAAUGCUUGAGUGUUUAAAAGACAUGUGAACCACAUUGCAUGAGAGAUCUGUGAAGCAGGAUCGGAUCCUUGCUCAUCUCAAAAGCAAAUUAUAGUUUCUGUAAAUAAAUUCUUUGUAUAGUAAGCUUUUCUCUUUUUUUGUGCAACUAUGCAACUCUGGGUAUAACGUUUUUUUUUUUUAAAUGUUAAUUGUUCCAAAAAUAUCUGACUA